UACGAAGGUGGCAAGCGUUACUCGGAAUUACUAGGCGUAAAGGGCAGGUAGGUGGUUCGGUAAGUCUGUUGUGUAAGCUCCCGGCUUAACUGGGAGAGGUCAACAGAAACUACCGGACUUGAGUAUAGGAGAGGGUACUGGAAUUCCCGGUGUAGCGGUGAAAUGCGCAGAGAUCGGGAGGAACACCAAUGGCGAAAGCAGGUACCUGGACUAUUACUGACACUAAGCUGCGAAAGCUAGGGGAGCAAACAGG
rnacentral:rRNA from 1 species